CUUGGAUACAUAUUAUUUUAAGGACAACUGUCACCUCUAAAUUAUUUUUAAUAUAAUAAUCCUUACUUGCUGUAUUGAAAGGAUUUAGAGUUGAUGUGUUUUGGGGGUUUUUUUGGCUGUUGGUUGUCCCCACUUACCGACCAGGUUCCGUUCGUACGAUCCAGUCGUAAAAAGAAAUUGGUCGGUAAGUGAAGAUGCGUAAGAGAGCAGAUUUAUGUUCGGAGUAAU